rnacentral:rRNA from 1 species
AGAGUUUGAUCCUGGCUCAGAACGAACGUUGGCGGCGUGGAUUAGGCAUGCAAGUCGAACGAGAAAGCACCCUUCGGGGUUUGAGUACAGUGGCGAACGGGUGAGUAACGCGUGGGAAACCUGCCCUUGAGCGGGGGAUAACGUUCCUAACGGGACGCUAAUACCGCAUGACACCGCAGCCGGGCAUCCGGCAGUCGUCAAAGGUGGCCUCUAUUUGUAAGCUGUCGCUUUAAGAUGGUCCCGCGUCCGAUUAGCUUGUUGGUGGGGUAAUGGCCCACCAAGGCGACGAUCGGUAGCCGGCCUGAGAGGGUGUCCGGCCACACUGGGACUGAGAUACGGCCCAGACUCCUACGGGAGGCAGCAGUCGAGAAGCUUCCGCAAUGGGCGAAACCCUGACGCAGCGACGCCGCGUGGGUGAGGAAGGUCUUCGGAUCGUAAAACCCUGUCAAGAGGGACGAAAUACGGAUUGGUUAAUACCCUUUCCGCUUGACGGUACCUCUAAAGGAAGCUCCGGCUAACUCCGUGCCAGCAGCCGCGGUAACACGGAGGGAGCAAACGUUGUUCGGAAUCACUGGGCGUAAAGGGCGCGUAGGCGGUUUCCUAAGUCAGGGGUGAAAACCAACAGCUCAACUGUUGGCCUGCCUCUGAAACUGGGGAACUUGAGUCCGUGAGAGGAAAGCGGAAUUCCUGGUGUAUCGGUGAAAUGAGUUGAUAUCAGGAGGAACACCGGUGGCGAAGGCGGCUUUCUGGUGCGGUACUGACGCUGAGGCACGAAAGCAUGGGGAGCGAACGGGAUUAGAUACCCCGGUAGUCCAUGCCGUAAACGAUGGGUACUAGAUGUUGGGGGAUUCUACCCCUCAGUGUCGCAGCUAACGCAUUAAGUACCCCACCUGGGGAGUACGAUCGCAAGGUUGAAACUCAAAGGAAUUGACGGGGGCCCGCACAAGCGGUGGAGCAUGUGCUUUAAUUCGAUGCAACGCGAGGAACCUUACCUGGGCUUGACAUGCAGGGGACAGGUGUAGAAAUACACUCACUCUUCUUCGGACUCCUGUACAGGUGCUGCAUGGCUGUCGUCAGCUCGUGUCGUGAGAUGUUGGGUUAAGUCCCGCAACGAGCGCAAACCCUAUCUUUAGUUGCCAUCAGGUUAUGCUGGGGACUCUAGAGAGACUGCCGGUGACAAACCUGAGUAAGGUGGGGACGACGUCAAGUCAUCAUGGCCCUUACGAGUAGGGCUACACACGUGCUACAAUGGCGAGUACAGAGGGAAGCGAGACUGCGAGGGUAAGCGGAUCCCUUAAGCUCGUCGUAGUCCGGAUUGGAGUCUGCAACUCGACGCCAUGAAGUCGGAAUCGCUAGUAAUCGCAAAUCAGAAUGUUGCGGUGAAUACGUUCCCGGGCCUUGUACACACCGCCCGU